rnacentral:rRNA from 1 species
GCCUACGGGGGGCAGCAGUAGGGAAUCUUCCACAAUGGGCGAAAGCCUGAUGGAGCAACGCCGCGUGGGUGAAGAAGGUCUUCGGAUCGUAAAACCCUGUUGUUAGAGAAGAAAGUGCGUGAGAGUAACUGUUCACGUUUCAACGGUAUCUAACCAGAAAGCCACGGCUAACUACGUGCCAGCAGCCGCGGUAAUACGUAGGUGGCAAGCGUUAUCCGGAUUUAUUGGGCGUAAAGGGAACGCAGGCGGUCUUUUAAGUCUGAUGUGAAAGCCUUCGGCUUAACCGGAGUAGUGCAUUGGAAACU